ACUCCUACGGGAGGCAGCAGUGGGGAAUAUUCUACAAUGGGGGAAACCCUGAUAGAGCGACGUCGCGUGAGUGAAGAAGGCCUUCGGGUUGUAAAGCUCUGUCACCGGGGAAGAAAGUAUUUAUGAGGAAAUGCAUAGAUAUUGACGGUACCUGGAGAGGAAGCACUGGCUAACUACGUGCCAGCAGCCGCGGUAAUACGUAGAGUGCAAGCGUUGUCCGGAAUUAUUGGGCGUAAAGGGUACGCAGGCGGCCCUGCAAGUCAAAUGUGAAAGGUCACAGCUUAACUGUGAGAAUGCGUUUGAAACUGUAGGGCUUGAGUACAACAGAGGAGAGCGGAAUUCCUGGUGUAGUGGUGAAAUACGUAGAGAUCAGGAAGAACACCAGUGGCGAAGGCGGCUCUCUGGGUUGAUACUGACGCUCAGGUACGAAAGCUAGGGGAGCGAACGGGAUUAGAUACCCCUGUAGUCC
rnacentral:rRNA from 1 species